rnacentral:lncRNA from 1 species
GUUGGAGAUGUUCAACCUGUAUCACAGUCACACGGUAGGCUGUGGGUGUCAGAUAUCUCAGGCUUUCAGUAAUUAGUGUCAAGACUUCAGACCAGUGAUUUUCAACCAGGCCACACCUCAGACCUGGGCACAUGUAGUAAGGAAAAGCUGCAUGUGCCCCUGACUAGCCCUGUGGCUUUAGAGUCACAUGUGCCUGCACACUUUGGGACAUGGGGGCAUCAGGAUGCUCGAAAGGGACUCAUCCGACUGCACACAUCAGUGUAUGGUAUACGGUCAGUCAGGCCGUUAUGUCAAAACAAACCUGAAGCAGGCGGACAAUGUUUCAAACGAAUCAGGUGGGGAGUAUUCAUCCUAAGCCACCACACAAGCAUCCGACAGCAAUUACCGUUCAUCUUCCCCCUGUGCCAGCCCUGCUAGACCCACACUUGCGUUAGCUCAUUCAAUCCUCA